rnacentral:rRNA from 1 species
GCUUACGGCCACACUGCCCUAGUUCACGCCCGAUCUCGUUUGAUCUCGGAAGCUAAGAUAGGGUGGGCCUGGUUAGUACUUGGAUGGGAGACCGCUGGGAAUACCAGGUGCUUGUAAGAU